GUUGGGUUAAGUCCCGCAACGAGCGCAACCCUUGUCUUUAUUUGCCAUUCUUAAGUGGGGGACUAUAAAGAGACUGCCCGUGAAAAGCGGGAGGAAGGUGAGGAUGACGUCAAGUCAGCAUGCCCCUUAUAUCCUGGGCUACACACGUGUUACAAUGGUUGAGACAAUGAGAAGCGAGCUUGCGAAAGUCAGCAAAUCUCUGAAACUCAUCCCAAGUUCGGAUUGCAGGCUGAAACUCGCCUGCAUGAAGCUGGAAUCGCUAGUAAUCGCCGGUCAGCAUACGGCGGUGAAUCCGUUCCCGGGCCUUGUACACACCGCCCGUCACACCAUGGGAGUCUAUUGCACCAGAAGUAGGUAGCCUAACGAAAGAGGGCGCUUACCACGGUGUGGUCGAUGACUGGGGUGAAGUCGUAACAAGGUAGCCGUAGGGGAACCUGCGGCUGGAUCACCUCCUU
rnacentral:rRNA from 1 species